rnacentral:rRNA from 1 species
GCGCUAGGUGUAGGGGUCUUCCACGACUUCUGUGCCGUAGCUAACGCAUUAAGCGCCCCGCCUGGGGAGUACGGCCGCAAGGCUAAAACUCAAAGGAAUUGACGGGGGCCCGCACAAGCGGCGGAGCAUGUGGAUUAAUUCGAUGCAACGCGAAGAACCUUACCUGGGCUUGACAUAUGCAGGAUCGGCGUAGAGAUACGUUUUCCCUUGUGGUCUGUAUACAGGUGGUGCAUGGUUGUCGUCAGCUCGUGUCGUGAGAUGUUGGGUUAAGUCCCGCAACGAGCGCAACCCUUGUCUUAUGUUGCCAGCACGUAAUGGUGGGGACUCAUGAGAGACUGCCGGGGUUAACUCGGAGGAAGGUGGGGAUGACGUCAAAUCAUCAUGCCCCUUAUGUCCAGGGCUUCACACAUGCUACAAUGGUCGGUACAACGCGCUGCUAGCCUGUGAGGGUGCGCUAAUCGCUUAAAGCCGGCCUCAGUUCGGAUUGGGGUCUGCAACUCGACCCCAUGAAGUCGGAGUCGCUAGUAAUCGCAGAU